rnacentral:rRNA from 1 species
AUUGAACGCUGGCGGAAUGCUUUACACAUGCAAGUCGAACGGUAGAGGGGGCAACCCCUCGAGAGUGGCGAACGGGUGAGUAAUAUAUCGGAACGUGCCCAGUCGUGGGGGAUAACGUAGCGAAAGUUACGCUAAUACCGCAUACGAUCUAAGGAUGAAAGCGGGGGAUCGCAAGACCUCGCGCGAUUGGAGCGGCCGAUAACAGAUUAGGUAGUUGGUGGGGGAAAGGCUCACCAAGCCAACGAUCUGUAGCUGGUCUGAGAGGACGACCAGCCACACUGGAACUGAGACACGGUCCAGACUCCUACGGGAGGCAGCAGUGGGGAAUUUUGGACAAUGGACGCAAGUCUGAUCCAGCCAUUCCGCGUGCAGGAUGAAGGCCCUCGGGUUGUAAACUGCUUUUGUACGGAACGAAAAGGUCUCUCUUAAUACGGGGGACUCAUGACGGUACCGUAAGAAUAAGCACCGGCUAACUACGUGCCAGCAGCCGCGGUAA